UACGGAGGGGGCUAGCGUUGUUCGGAAUUACUGGGCGUAAAGAGCGCGCAGGCGGUCGGAUAAGUCGAAUGUGAAAGCCCCCGGCUCAACUGGGGAGGGUCAUUCGAUACUGUUCGACUCGAAGGCAGGAGAGGGAAGUGGAGUUCCCGGUGUAGUGGUGAAAUGCGUAGAGAUCGGGAGGAACACCAGAGGCGAAAGCGGCAUCCUGGGCCAAGCCUGACGCUGAGGCGCGAAAGCGUGGGGAGCGAACCGG
rnacentral:rRNA from 1 species